rnacentral:misc_RNA from 1 species
AAAACCCAUCGUGGAAUAGGUUUCAUCACCUUUGCAAGUUCAGAUUCUGUGGAAAAUUUGAUGGCCGAUACUCAUGAAUUAGGAGGUUCUACUGUGGUUGUUGAUAGAGCAACCCCCAAGGAUGAUGAUUUCAGGCCCAUAGGGAAAAUGCCGCAGGGGGGUGGUGGGGGUGGAUAUGGUGCAUACAAUGCUUAUAUUUCUGCCGCAACAAGAUAUGCAGCACUAGGUGCUCCUACCUUAUACGACCAUCCAGGCUCAGUUUAUGGGAGAAGGGAAUUUAGAGGGAUGGGAAAAAAGAUUUUUGUUGGUAGGCUCCCACAAGAAGCAUCUGCUGAUGAUCUCCGUCAGUACUUUGGUAGAUUUGGCCGUAUAUUGGAUGUCUAUGUUCCAAAGGAUCCUAAAAGAUCUGGUCAUCGAGGUUUUGGUUUUGUAACUUUUGCUGAAGAUGGUGUAGCAGAUCGUGUAUCUCGAAGAUCUCACGAGAUUUGUGGACAACAGGUUGCUAUUGAUUCAGCCACUCCUCUUGAUGAUGCUGGAUCUGGAGCUGGAGCAAGUGGAAGUUUUAUGAUGAAUAGUGCCGCAGAAUCUUUCGGUGGCUAUGUGGGACCUAUGAGGACUUAUGGAAGGAUGUAUGGAAGCCUGGACUUCGAUGAUUGGGGUUAUGGAAUUGGUGGUGGAAGACCAUCUAGAGCAGACUGGAGGUAUCGGCCAUACUAAAGAGAAACAGACCUUCAGCCUUCUUGAAGAAGUGAUUGGGUUGAUUAAUCAACAGAAAUGAAUUGCCCUUAUUUACGAGGAAGAUAUUUGGAGUUUUGGCCUUUGUAGAGUCAAUAUCUUUGGAUGUACGUUUAUUGCAUUCUUUCCUUUCUUUUUUGUCCUAACUGAAACAUGUCGGUUCGGGUCGAGGUUGGGGUUUGAAGGG